UGGUGUGGAAGAUUGAAAAGCAUGGUGCAUUGACAUUGGCUGGCUGCUGGACACCCACCCUGCUGCUCUUGCUCCCCUUCAGCAGAGCAGGGGUAGAAAAUAAGGCUUGAGGGUCAGGAUAAAAACAGGGACACCUACCAGUUACCAUCACAGACAAAACAGCAUGUGGAGGUGCAGGUGUUCACAGCUCUCGGGCAUAGUGCAUGCAGGAGGCACAAAACUCACUGUCAGCAUCCCAACAAGCCUGUGUCAGCAAGUUGGAAUGAAACAAGCAGGUUCAGUGUGCCCCUGAAGAUAGUAAAUUAUAAUGUUUCCAGUGUAAAACCUUCCCUCUUUUAAGUGAUGUUUCUUUCUGUGUCAAAUAACACCCUUGUUUGUAGUGUGAUUCACAGUUGGAAAGCCUUGAUGGAGCUGGAUGUGAACCCAGAGCAACUGGGAAGAAAUGCUAGUGAGAGAGCAGCAUUGAAAGCAGUCCUGGUGUUCUGACUCCCUGGAGCCUGCAAAACCUGUGUAGAUUUGCCCCCUUCAGAGGAACUUUGUGUGAUACCUUUCAGUUUGGCUGAGGCAGGUGCAAAAUCAGCUGUGUUGCAGACAGCAGCAGCCAGUUGCAUCACCCUGUCCCUUGUAAUGGCUUGGAUGGUUUUGCUCCAGUCCAUGGGCGAUACUCUUGCCUGAAAUGAGAUUAGGAACCAGUAAAACACAACAUAUUCACAAGUUGCCUCCGUGCCUCUGGGUGAAUGCAGCCUACAGGAAGAGUUGGGGCAGAUCCCUGCUACUAGAGGAUAGUGGAGUUGUGUGUGGUUACCAAGGGACAGCCUAGUCCACAGGCCUUUGCCAGAGAGGAAGCUGGAGAGCAACAACCCCUGAGGAAAGAUUAAUGUCUGUAGACUUCAGUGCUACUUUUGGAAAUACUAAGGCCUGACUUAGCAAAAUACAUUGGAGAAUAAAUCGGAUGUCUCUGCACUCCUUGUGCCUGCCACUUCCUAAUGCUGAGUUCAGCUCUGGUGCUGUGUGUCUCAGAGCCCACCUACAGCACCAGGGAGUGCUUUUGAGCUGCUGCUCAUUCUAGCUGGUAGGAUGAAGCUGGCACAAAGGCUAGCUUGGAUAAGGGAUCCAGGAGGCACCGGGUGAGAUUAAAAACUUGUCUGCAUUUAGAAGAGAUUUAUUGUGAUUAAAAGCUGGGGGAGGAGGUAGGAAUACUGCAGCAGUAAAACUAAGGAAAGCCAUCAAAUCAGACAGCAAAGCAGCUGUUGCUGCUAGGAAUGGGGGCUGAAACCUCCAGCAGACAGUUUGUUCUAAUAAUAAAAUGAAAUUCCAAUAGAGCUGUUCACUACAAGGAACAAAAUACCCCUUAAACAUGGCAAGGCCACAGCAGACAUUCUUAGGGAUCAAAAAAGGGUGAAGGAUUGUGUCUCUACACAAUUAACCAUGACUUUACACUUAGUUCUGUUUCCCUAUGCAAACUCUGGCUGCUGUCUCUGCCAAGUCUGCAUAAUCACUACAUUGUGUUCUUAUGCACAAUAAUAGCUCUUUGAAGAGGGGGAGAAAAGUCUUUCCACGUGGUUAGUUUUGUUUUAGGUGACUGGUUCUUUCUGUUAUUGUUUUUUUUUUUCUGGUUUUGUUUUUUUAAUUCUUCUAAUUUCUUUGUUAUUCAAAGGUGUGACUAAAUACUGAGGUACUGAUGCCAGAUUUUGCAAGAAGGGUAUUUGCUUGCCAGAAAUGUAUUUUGUACUCUAGCGAGCUGUCAUAACUCCAGGCUAUUCCCUGACUGUUAGCUUUCUUAUUGCAGUUUGAAAGUAAUUUUGGAGCAGAGAAGAUGGUUUACCUUCGUACAUAUGUUAAAUGCCUCUAGAGUUCCUAUAAAUAAGGAAGAUUCAGGUAUCAAAUAGCCUUUACAAGGCUAUUAGGUCUAAAGUUAAGGUAAAGCUUAUGCAUCAGAAGUCCAGCAGAACUGCAGGCAUUGCCUCUGAAGGGACGGCCUGAAAAUGUUGUGGUGUUUACCUGCACGCUUCCUGCCUUAGCAGGUCUAACAGACCACAAGUGGGGCUCCAGCCUGUGCAAGCAAUACAGGGGCAUGACUUUCGAAGUCUAAGGUAGGCACUGGCUACUAUGGUGAAGAACUUAAUUGUAACCUUGGCUUAUUCUUCCAGACCUGUAAAACCUAAUGUCAUUCAAGCUUUACAUACUAUUUCCUGCACUAUUACUCCCUGCUGCUUUCAACCAGGAUCUCUUUAAAAAACACCCUCAGCAAAUAGAGAAAUGUUGAACAGACUAGGUAAGCUGUUGAGUGGACAAGAGGUAAUGCAAGGGGGGGGGGGGGGGAAUAAAAGAAGUGAGCAAAGGCAACAGAUAGACAAGCAUUAAACAGGUCUGAGAUCAACAUGCAGAUACUGUGAGCUAUGGCUUUUGAGCUUCUUUGGCAUG